rnacentral:rRNA from 1 species
AGGACGAACGCUGGCGGCGUGCUUAACACAUGCAGGUCGAACGGAAAGGCCCGCUUGCGGGUACUCGAGUGGCGAACGGGUGAGUAACACGUGGGCAACCUGCCCUCAGCUCUGGGAUAACUCCGGGAAACCGGUGCUAAUACUGGAUAUCGACUCUGCCUCGCAUGGGGUGUUGUUGAAAGUUUUUUCGGCUGGGGAUGGGCCCGCGGCCUAUCAGCUUGUUGGUGGGGUGAUGGCCUACCAAGGCGACGACGGGUA